UACGUAGGGGGCAAGCGUUGCCGGAAUCAUUGGCGUAAAGCGCGUGUAGGCGGCUCGGUAAGUCCGCUCUGAAAGUCCAGGGCUCAACCCUGGGAUGCGGGUGGAUACUGCCGGGCUCGAGUCCGGAAGAGGCGAGUGGAAUUCCCGGUGUAGGCGGUGAAAUGCGCAGAUAUCGGGAGGAACACCAAUGGCGAAGGCAGCUCGCUGGGACGUGACUGACGCUGAGACGGCGA
rnacentral:rRNA from 1 species